GAAACACGCCCCGGGCGCACACCACGGUGCCCGGAACCGCGGGGCUCGGGGACCCGCGGGGGUCGGAGUCCGGGCCCACUACCUGGGCUGGCGGUGGACCUGGCUGACUCAUUUCGGUCCGGGGAGCUCACUUUGAGGGGAGUUGGAGUCCGCCUAGCCACUUAGGCCUGGACUCAGGGUUCUGCGGAAGUUACACCCCUGGUCAGACGUGGUAGCACUCCCAUCUUAUUCAAGAUCCUGUUUGAAAAUUACUGAGGCAGAAACUAGGAGGUAAUUAAAAGGCCUCAAAAAUCUCGCCUCAUUCCAUCCACAGAGGAAACUAAUGAGGUUUUGUUUUUUUUUUCUUUGAGACAAGGACUCGCUACGUUGCCCAGUCUGGUCUCGAACUCCUGCAGGCUCAAGGGAUCCUCCUGCCUCAGCCUCCUGAGUAGCUUGGACUAAAGACGCGUGUCACGGUUCCUGGCCAAUGAGUUUUUACUUCAUUUACUGUUUGAACACUGUUCUGGUCCAUCUACUUAUGGCACGAACUGGGCCCUGAUGGAGGAGAGGAGGAGAUACUGCAGAAGUAGUGAAUAUUGUUCUUGCCCUUUAGCAAAAAAUAGUUUAUCUGGGAAGCAAACAUAAUUACAUAAAGUAGACAAUACAUAGUCAGUUUUGCCUGCUUCCUUCUGUGUAGUUUAUCUGGGAAGCAAACAUAAUUACAUAAAAUAGACAAUACAUAGUUUUGCCUGCUUCCUUCUCUGUAAAAUGAGAGAACAGGACAAAGGUCCCUCAGCGUUACUGUGCUAAGGAUCAGUAUCUGAAUGAUGAUCUACUGAUACAGCACAAGCUAAGGAAAUCCUGACGGUUUCAAAAUAAGUAUUAUGGAGGAGGUCAUGUCUCUUUUCAUACCCCUUCGCUCCCACGUCCUAAUCUCCAUAUAUAUCCUUCAAGAUUUUACUCAGAGCCUCUCUUUUUGGCUCCCUCAGAUAAAACACCAUUUCAUCUUUCACCUGUGUGUUGCCCGAAGUUGCUUUCACUCCUCUGAUUGUUUCCUCCCUUAUCUAUUCCUCUCUUCAGUGAUUUCACAUCUCCCCAAGAGCUCCAGCGCUGCUGUUUCAAGGUCAUACUUACCUCUCAAGCACUGUAUUUGCGUCAUCUUCCUCGUCAUCUGCAGCCUUCCCCCAGGGUAUGUCCUCCGAAUGCUCUGGGAAGGCCCAAUUCACUGAAAACCUCUGUCCAAGUCAAGGAGGGGUGCCGUGCAACACGUAUCCCUACUCUGGUUCAUCUUAUCCAAUCUGUUUAUUGAACCAAGAUUCCUGUCACUUCCUUCCUUCUCCCUUGACUAUUACCGGCCCUACUCCCAGCCAUCUCAUAGCCUAAAAUGUUGAUUUUAUGAUUUGUCUAUUUCUUUCUGGAGAGAUCUUAAGGGAUCAACACAAGUGAAGUGGAAUAAAGGCAGGGAGUCGGGGGUGGGGGGUGGUUGAGGCAACAGUGGGGCUCAACUAAUUCAUGGCCUCCAUUUAUUGAGACCACAAGCCCUUGUAAAAGAGACCAAGUCUUUUAACGUCACGGGCCAUGUUUGGCACAGAAAUGGUGUCUCUAAAUGUUCAACAUUAACAAAAC
rnacentral:lncRNA from 10 species